rnacentral:lncRNA from 1 species
CUCUAGCGCGCGCGCGCGCGCUCUGUUCAUGAUCCUCUGGUCAACGCCCUCAACUGACUUAUCUCCUGGACUCCACGAAGCCGGUGGGUUGGCCUCUCUCUUUUCGUUUCCUCUGGUCAACGCAUUCAGCUGACGAGCGACUUACCUCUCUCCUCUCUCUCUCUCUCUCUCCUGUGUCGUCUAGUCAACGCUCUCCUAGAUUCCCGGAAGCCGGUUAAUCGCCUUUCUUGCUCUCUCCCUCUGUUCAUGAUCCUCCGGUUAACGCCCUCAACUGAGGGCUUGUCUCCUGGAUUUCACGAAGCCGAUGGGUAGGCCUCCUGUCUUUUCGUUUUCUCUGGUCAACGCCCUCAGCCGAAGAGUGACUUGACCUCUCCUCUCUCUUUCUCUCUCUUCUUUCCCCUCUGGGUAACGCUCUCCUGGGUUCCAGGAACCCGGUGAGUUGACCUUUUUGCUCUCUCU